CAGUAGCCGCGGUAAUGCGAAGGGGGCUAGCGUUGCUCGGAAUGACUGGGCGUAAAGGGCGCGUAGGCGGCUGUUACAGUCAGACGUGAAAUUCCUGGGCUCAACCUGGGGGCUGCGUUUGAUACGUGAUGGCUUGAGUUCGGAAGAGGGUCGUGGAAUUCCCAGUGUAGAGGUGAAAUUCGUAGAUAUUGGGAAGAACACCGGUGGCGAAGGCGGCGACCUGGUCCGAUACUGACGCUGAGGCGCGAAAGCGUGGGGAGCAAACAGGAUUAGAUACCCCCGUAGUCCCUGUCUCUUAUAC
rnacentral:rRNA from 1 species